rnacentral:rRNA from 1 species
GACGAACCGAGCGAACGUUGUUCGGAAUCACUGGGCUUAAAGGGCGCGUAGGCGGGCCGUCCAGUCAGUGGUGAAAUCCCCCGGCUCAACCGGGGAAGUGCCUUUGAUACUGACGGCCUCGAGGGGGGUAGGGGCGUGCGGAACUUCCGGUGGAGCGGUGAAAUGCGUAGAUAUCGGAAGGAACACCGGUGGCGAAAGCGGCGCGCUGGACCCCAUCUGACGCUGAGGCGCGAAAGCCAGGGGAGCAAACGGG